CCGCGACCCCAGGUCA
rnacentral:ncRNA from 10 species